rnacentral:lncRNA from 1 species
UUGUAUCAAUGUUUCAUCAUAUUCUUCCCACCUAUUCUCAUGAUUUUUUUUCAUUUUGGAAGGUAAGUUAGGUUUUAUUAAAUAUCACCCUGUUAAAUUCUCUUUAUGCCACUUUAUCUGGACCCAGAUCUUCUUAUCCAACACGUCCUGAACUUCACUUCACUGUUAGAAGCAUGGAAGAGGACAGUGCGUCAGACAGUGCCCUGCAGCGGAUCACAAGUGCCAUCUCUCCAGGAUGACACUGAUUUAAGAAUUAGUGUUCUCUGAGCGUUGACGCUUCACUGGUAAAGAGCCCGCUAGAAUUUAUUCCGUGAGAGGAGAGGUCCUGGUGGAGGGAUGCAGCUUUGAUAAAAGGCGCUGCCUCGCCUCGGAAGGUGCUCUUUCCCACCUGUGUGCUCACAGUUCUCUUCGGCAAACUCCUUCAGCGCCUUACAGCACCGUUGUUUGCACUCUGACGCCUCAUCACCCCUCAGUGAGCACAGACUGGAAACUGGGGCAGCAUUGGGACAGCAGAAGCAGCAGCAUUUGGAAGCUCUGUGUGAGGAAACGCAGCCCACACACUUGCGAAGGGCUCGAUGGAGACGCUGGGCCCUGGUUCUACCCAGUGCUCCCUGUGGGUUACCUCGAGGCUCAUUGCACUUACAUCUUUCUGCUUCAUCCAUGGGUUGGAGAUAAGGGCUUCUUCCCUCAGAGGGAAGCUGCGAGGAUUUGUGACACAAUGUGGGAAAGCA